GCAUGCAUUAUUGGCUAUGGAACUGAUGAUUCUAUUAACCAGGUUGAUCUCUUCAGCAAUGGGCAGGAGAGAUUCGCAACAAUGGAGAACAGAUAUGGAGUUUGAUAUGCUGGGAAGAACAUUCUCCUUCAGGUCAGCAACUAUGGCAACACCCAUCUUCUUCAAAACACAAAAUCUUCACACACACACACACGCAGAGAGAGAGAGUUUCAAGCAACCCAACUCUCUCUCUAUCUCUCUCCUCUUUUUGAGUGUGGGGGAAACACAGACGUGCAUGGAAUGGAAAAUGCAGAAAGCUUAAAAUUUAAUGGGCAGGCUGGUUCAACAGAAAUCUAACUUUUCAUACAUAAUUUAACUCCCUGAGGCUGAGGGGAUAGAUUGAUGAUAUAAAGUGUGAGAUGACAUGUUUUUGUUUUUGUGGGAGAGAUUGCAGGAUUCCGUCAUGUUGCAAUGCUUUAGGGGUCUGUAAUCAUGAUGACUCUCGUCAAAGCAACCCAAAAAGUCUACCUUAUAAAAAUCCCUAAAAUUAUGUGUAAAGCUAACUUAAAGUUUGGGGGGACAAUUAAGAAGCUGAGCUGUAUAGCCUGCAAUUGCAUGCUAUCAUGAUUAACCAUUGCUAAGGAAUUAAACACAGCUAAUUAAUAAAUAGCCUAAAUAUUUGUAUUAUUAGUUUAAAAUAGAGAUAGAUGCAUAUGUUAACUAACAGAAUGACUAGGAAAUUACACGUCCAAAACUGUCCCUGUGUACUCACAGUUUGAAUAACAGGCUUGUUUCCUUUUUCCC